rnacentral:rRNA from 1 species
UACGGGGGGGGCAAGCGUUGUUCGGAAUUACUGGGCGUAAAGGGCUCGUAGGCGGCCAACUAAGUCGGACGUGAAAUCCCCAGGCUCAACCUGUGAACUGCGUCCGAUACUGGAUGGCUUGAAUCCGGGAGAGGGAUGCAGAAUUCCAGGUGUAGCGGUGAAAUGCGUAGAUAUCUGGAGGAAUACCGGUGGCGAAGGCGGCAUCCUGGACCGGCAUUGACGCUGAGGAGCGAAAGCCAGGGGAGCAAACGGG